rnacentral:rRNA from 1 species
UACGUAGGGGGCUAGCGUUGUCCGGAAUCAUUGGGCGUAAAGAGCGUGUAGGCGGUUAGGUAGGUCCGUUGUGAAAACUCGAGGCUCAACCUCGAGACGCCGAUGGAAACCAUCUGACUAGAGUCCGGAAGAGGAGAGUGGAAUUCCUGGUGUAGCGGUGAAUGCGCAGAUAUCAGGAAGAACACCCGUGGCUAAGGCGGCUCUCUAGUACGGUACUGACGCUGAGACGCGAAAGCGUGGGGAGCGAACAGG